rnacentral:rRNA from 1 species
GGAGGGCAAAGCUGGUGCCAGCAGCCGCGGUAACUCCAGCUCCAGAAGCGUAUAUUAAAGUUGUUGCAGUUAAAAAGCUCGUAGUUGGAUCUGGGUCUCAUGGCUGCUCGCCGUGGUCAGUUUCGGUUCUCGUAAGAGUGUUGAAGCUUCCCGGUGGUGUGGUCGUGUAACCUUUCUGCCGUGUCUGUUUUAACACAGGUGCUGGUUUCGGCUAGCAUGCUUUGGGGUGCCUUUAAUCGGGUGUCCGGAGCGGACGGCACGUUUACUUUGAACAAAUUUGAGUGCUCAAAGCAGGCCGUAGAGCCUGAAAAGUCUUGCAUGGAAUAAUGGAAUAGGACUUCGGUUCUAUUUUGUUGGUUUUCGGAUCCGAAGUAAUGGUUAAGAGGGACAGACGGGGGCAUUUGUAUG